rnacentral:pre_miRNA from 1 species
UCCUCAUUUCCCACACUCUCUCGCUGGUCAGAGAAGCCGAGAGAGUGUGUGAAAUGAUGAGA